UACAGAGGUCUCAAGCAUUGUUCGGAUUCAUUGGGCGUAAAGGGUGCGUAGGCGGCGCGGUAAGUCGGGUGUGAAAUCUCGGAGCUUAACUCCGAAACUGCAUUCGAUACUGCCGUGCUUGAGGACUGGAGAGGAGACUGGAAUUUACGGUGUAGCGGUGAAAUGCGUAGAUAUCGUAAGGAAGACCAGUGGCGAAGGCGGGUCUCUGGACAGUUCCUGACGCUGAGGCACGAAGGCCAGGGGAGCAAACGGG
rnacentral:rRNA from 1 species